rnacentral:rRNA from 1 species
GAUGAACGCUGGCGGCGUGCCUAAUACAUGCAAGUCGAGCGAACGGACGAGAAGCUUGCUUCUCUGAUGUUAGCGGCGGACGGGUGAGUAACACGUGGAUAACCUACCUAUAAGACUGGGAUAACUUCGGGAAACCGGAGCUAAUACCGGAUGAUAUUUUGAACCGCAUGGUUCAAAAGUGAAAGUCGGUCUUGCUGUCACUUAUAGAUGGAUCCGCGCUGCAUUAGCUAGUUGGUAAGGUAACGGCUUACCAAGGCAACGAUGCGUAGCCGACCUGAGAGGAUGAUCGACCACACGGGAACUGAGACACGGACCAGACACCUACGGGAGGAAGCAGUAGGGAAGCUGCCGCAAUGGGCGAAAGCCUGACGGAGCAACGCCGCGUGAGUGAUGAAGGUCUUCGGAUCGUAAAACUCUGUUAUUAGGGAAGAACAGAUGUGUAAGUAACUGUGCACAUCAUGACGGUACCUAAUCAGAAAGCCACGGCUAACUACGUG